rnacentral:rRNA from 1 species
AGAGUUUGAUCCUGGCUCAGGAUGAACGCUAGCGGCAGGCCUAAUACAUGCAAGUCGAACGGUGAUAGCAAUAUCAUAGUGGCGCACGGGUGCGUAACACGUAUGCAACCUACCUAUUAUUGGGGGAUAGCCUUUGGAAACGGAGAUUAAUACCGCAUAAUACGAUUGACUGGCAUCGGUUGAUUGUUAAAGCUUAGGCGAUAAUAGAUGGGCAUGCGUCCAAUUAGUUAGUUGGUUAGGUAACGGCUGACCAAGACGAUGAUUGGUAGGGGAUCUGAGAGGAUAAUCCCCCACACUGGCACUGAGAUACGGGCCAGACUCCUACGGGAGGCAGCAGUAGGGAAUAUUGGGCAAUGGGCGGAAGCCUGACCCAGCCAUGCCGCGUGCAGGAAGAAGGCGUUAUGCGUUGUAAACUGCUUUUUUAUAGGAAGAAGGAUCCCUUGCGAGGGAAGGUGACGGUACUAUAAGAAUAAGCACCGGCUAACUCCGUGCCAGCAGCCGCGGUAAUACGGAGGGUGCAAGCGUUGUCCGGAUUUAUUGGGUUUAAAGGGUGCGUAGGCGGUUUAUUAAGUCAGUGGUGAAAGACGGUCGCUCAACGAUUGCAGUGCCAUUGAUACUGGUAG